UUUGGUUUCUUAGUUCUUGAGACCAUAAGUGGCAAAAAGAACAGCAGUCACUAUGAAAUGGAUGGUAGUGGCGGCAAAACAGAACAAGCAACGGAGAUGCUAGUGGACGGAUCUGGCUGAAAGCUCUCAGCUAAUGGGAUAUUCUCUGCUCUGACUCUGAAGAAAAAUCCAGGAGGUUGGGGCACAGGCAGUGUAAUUGAAGUAUUAGUGAGCAUCUGAAAUAUUGUGAACAUGCUUGGACGAUCUGUUGGAUUUUCUUGAACGCAUAAUAACCCAAUAUGGACGCA